ACGGCAGUAGCUCAGUUGGUAGAGCAGUGGAUUCCAAAUCCACCGGUCGGGGGUUCGAGUCCCUCCUGCCGUG
rnacentral:tRNA from 1 species